UACGUAGGUGGCAAGCGAUACUCGGAAUCACUAGGCGUAAAGCGCAGGUAGGAGGUUUGGUAAGUCUGUUGUGAAAGCUCCCGGCUCAACUGGGAGAGGCCAACGGAAACUACUAGGCUGGAGUGCGGUAGAGGUAGCUGGAAUUCCCGGUGUAGCGGUGAAAUGCGUAGAUAUCGGGAGGAAUACCUAUGGCGAAAGCAGGCUAACUGGACCGUCACUGACUCU
rnacentral:rRNA from 1 species